rnacentral:lncRNA from 1 species
AUGCGCGAAAGAUCGAUAGAGCCAUGCUGUAAUCCAAUUGGAUGGUACGCCGGUAAAUUGCAACAUGAGAAGCGAAUUUCCGAUUUUUUAAAUACUGGCCACAAAAAAGCCAAACUUCAAAACAGCAGGCAGACAGCCGUCUCCCUGCCAGCGGCCCCCUGUCCCUCGGGGAGUUCAGAGCAGCUAUGUAGUGGAGAAAAAGACAGCAAUGCUAACCCCCCUCUGUCGGUCCUAUGUUGGAUUAAUCCCUUACCUGCGGCACCACCAACUAUCUGUUGGUGAAGAGCCCUGCCAGCCAAAGGAGUUUGACUUCCCAACCAGGGGCUCUGGAAAUGAAAGCGUAUUGUAUUUUUACGUUAAGUUGAAUUUCUUUAUUUUUACUUUAGUUAUAAUUAGUACAAUUCCUAGGCUUUGACCCCUCAGUCAUAGCAGCAAAAACAUGGGUGUGUGUGUGUGUGUGUGUGUGUGUGUGUGUGUGUGUGUGUGUUAUAGUUAAGUUCAAGUGCCUCGUUCUGUUGCUACCCGAAUAGAUUAGCUGUGACUCUGUCAAUAAUGAAUCGUCUUCUGAUUAGAAAUAAAGCUGCAUUCCAUGUGUGAUCUGUGAAUCCGGUAAGCUACUAUGCUGCUUUGAUAUUAAGCAUGUUGGUGUUAAACAUGUCUGUUGUAGUGUAAAACAUUCUAAAACUGGUGUAAAAUGUUACUGGCCAUGUUAACACGAAAACCAUGAAUGUUGCGCAGCAUUUAUUAUGACGUCAUCAUAUAGACUUUCUCUCAGCACCCCCGACUCAGACUGACUUCCCGCUUCCCUACUACUUGCUAAAUUUAGGCUACAGACGCUGCGAGGUGCGCACCUUUCUCUCAGACGCAAACUCCGCUUUUGCGCACCAUCUCACUGACUCGGAAUGGAUAGCCCGUCUUGCUUAUAUGUCAUGCAUAUUCGACAAAUUAAAUAUGCUCAACCUGUCACCAUAGGCGUCGCAUAGGCGACGCGUCCCAACCAGAUAUCG